rnacentral:rRNA from 1 species
UACGUAGAGAGCAAGCGUUGUCCGGAAUCAUUGGGCGUAAAGGGUACGCAGGCGGUCUAUUAAGUCAGAGGUGAAAUUCCAACAGCUCAACUGUUGAACUGCCUUUGAUACUGGUAGACUUGAGGAUAAGAGAAGAAAACGGAAUUCCUAGUGUAGCGGUGAGAUGCGUAGAUAUUAGGAAGAAUACCGAUGGCGAAAAGCAGUUUUCUAACUUAUUCCUGACGCUCAGGUACGAAAAGCUAGGGGUAGCAAAACGGG